GGAGAGCGCUUCCCUGACACGGAAGAGGUCAGAAGUUCAAAUCUUCUAACGCCCA
rnacentral:tRNA from 1 species